rnacentral:rRNA from 1 species
GCAGCCUGCAACUCGGCUGCAUGAAGCUGGAAUCGCUAGUAAUCGCGGAUCAGAAUGCCGCGGUGAAUACGUUCCCGGGUCUUGUACACACCGCCCGUCACACCAUGGGAGUUGGGAAUGCCCGAAGUCAGUGGCCCAACCGUAAGGGGGAGCUGCCGAAGGCAGAUCCGAUGACUGGGGUGAAGUCGUAACAAGGUAAC